GCAGGGACCAUGAUGGUCACUGGCUUGUCGGGGUUCUGUGAGUGGAAGAUUUGGGGACAUGGGGUAGAAGGCAAAGCAGCCAGCCAGUGGGUGGCCACAGAGAGACCAGACAGAGGUUGCCUAACCUUUAGCAGAGAACUCCCCGAGUCCAGAUCACGAUGUUCUGGGCCCAUGGGAUGCUCAGUUCCAGUUUUGCCAAGGCCUGGCCCAACCACAUGCCAUGGUCUUGAACUUUCAGGAGAUCCUGUCAUCCUAAUGCUGCUGUGACAAUAAAUUCCACCCCCUAACUUGAGGGCCCUGGGAGAACCUCUGCCACUUGGAGGAAAAAAAUCCCCCAAAACCCACGUGACUGAGUCAGCCUUUCCCAAGUAGGUCUUUAAAAUUCAGAAUGAGACAAGGUCAAGAUCAGAUAGAUCCCUGGGACCCGGCCACUCCUGGGGGUGGGUGUUCACCAGCCAAGCCACUCUCCCCUCUGUAGCCUUUACCCUCACUUUCCUACCAGCAUCCCACGGCUGAGUUAAUUAACUAUCAGGUGAAUCUCAACUCUAUUCAAAGUCCUUAAAGAGUUAUAAGUGCCUACUGCGUGCAGGGCACUGUGUGGGGCUGCGGAGGAUGCACGCAUGAGGGAGAUAAGAUGCCCACCUUCCAGGGAGGAGGCAGCAGGGGAUGACCAGCAGUCCCUGGGGCUCUUAGUGAUCACGACGCAUGCUCUCUGCAGUUCUCUGAUCUGCCACUCGGGAAAUAGACUAAAUAAGAACCUGGCAGUGAACGGUGGAAAAGGGAUGGCAGUCACAUUACAGUGGAAAAACCUGGCAAGUGCUACCUCCGCCAAACAAUCAAGGUCAACAUCAACAGGGCCACCACCCUCAUCUAAUCAUGAGAAAAGCAUCAGGCAAAUUCUGACAGAAGAGCAUCCUACAAUAUACCUGACAUUUUCCUCAAGGCUGUCAAGGUCAUUAAGAACAAGAACUUGAGAAAUUGUCACAACCAAGAGGAGCCUAAGGAGACAUGACAACUGAACGCAGCGUGGAGGCCUGGAUGGGCACCUGCAACAGAAAAUGAAUGUUCGGCGAACACGGAGGAACUCCGAACAAUCUAGGGACUUUAUAACAAUAACAUUAAUAACAAGGGAUCAAUUUGGGUUCAUCGUUUGUAACAAAUGUACCACACUAAUGUUAGAUAUUAAUAAUCAGGGAAGCUGGGUACCGGACAUAUAGAAACUCUCUGUUCUGUCUGCUCAAUAUUUCUAUAAAUCUAAAACUGUUCUAAAAAUAAAGUCUAUUAAAAAAGUCCCUGCAGCAA